ACAAGCGGUGGAUGAUGUGGAUUAAUUCGAUGCAACGCGAAGAACCUUACCUACCCUUGACAUGUCCGGAACUUGCCAGAGAUGGCUUGGUGCCCGAAAGGGAAUCGGAACACAGGUGCUGCAUGGCUGUCGUCAGCUCGUGUCGUGAGAUGUUGGGUUAAGUCCCGCAACGAGCGCAACCCUUAUCAUUAGUUGCCAUCUGGUAAUGCAGGGGACUCUAGCGAAACUGCCACCGUAAGGUGAGAGGAAGUGGGGAUGACGUCAAAUCAGCACGGCCCUUAUGUCCAGGGCUACACACGUGUUACAAUGGUCGGUACAGAGGGCAGCUACCUGGUGACAGGAUGCUAAUCUCGAAAACCGGUCUCAGUUCGGAUCGAAGUCUGCAACUCGACUUCGUGAAGCUGGAUUCGCUAGUAAUCGCGCAUCAGCUAUGGCGCGGUGAAUACGUUCCCGGGCCUU
rnacentral:rRNA from 1 species